UAGCAUAUGCUGAAGGGCACUCCCUAGGGGGGCAUUAACAGACUCCUAAGGCAAUGUCUUAAUUAACUUUCAAUAAUUAACUUUUUAAUUAUAAAAGCUACGAAGUUGCUCCAAUGAGAACAUCUGAUCUCUUCGGUCACCAGAUACCAAAGCCGUUUUCAGAACAAAAAUCCGUUCGAUAGAUCGUCCGCAAGAAAUUCGUGAAGGAACGCCAUUUUUUCUUUAUUUUAUCCAUUGCGCUAGCGCAGUGGCCACGCUCUUGAACAACGUGAUGACAAUGAAUGCUCUCGAAUGCUUCUUUCUGCAUGUUUCAGGUCAAACUUCUAGCCCUCUCCAGAGCCAGCAAUGUAUGAGUUUUGGCCGUCCAUUUUCAAAUUGUAUGAGUUUUGGCCAUCCCGCACAUUCUAGUGCAUCUUCCAGCACACUACGUAGAAGUGCCUUUGAAAACGAGGUGAUCAGGGUGCUGCAUCCGAUCCGCCUUACUCAAGAGGAUCAUUCAGCUCAGAUGAAUACUCUGACGUCUGGCCUGGAGGAGCGCCCAUCAGUGACUGCAGCAGAAGAGCGCGUAUUUGAGCCCUAUGAAGAGCUAGAUAAGUUCCUCGAAUUUGACAUGACUCUGUAAGAUGACACUGAGAUGAAGAAGUUGACAGAAACUCUGCGGAAGUAUGGAGGUAUCAAUCUCAGGGACGCCACACAAAGAAUCCUAAGAGCGUUGAUGUCAGACGAAGUCGCAACGGCAUUCAGCUGGAGAGGAAACAAAGGGAAAAAAAGGUUCUGCGACCUUCUCUGCUGCGAGGCUGU